ACGGGGAUCCCUAUUCCUGGAGGAAUCCAGCCUGGUGCCUGGGAUAGGGAAGUGCAUGAUAAAUGCUGCAUAAAUGAAAAACAAUUGCUACCGUGGAAGAUAUUGAAAGGAAAGUGCUAUCGAUGCCAAAGUUGUUUCCAAGAGAGGUAUUCCAAAAGUGUUUCAAGCAAUGACUGAGCUAAGCAUCCAGUCCUGCAAGGUGAAGGCGUUGAAGACGCAGCCCUCAUUUGAAUAGAUGAAUUGUGGUAUUCUUGUUAAAUAAUGAAUCAUAUCAAGGCUUGGUCACACCUCAUGCACAUGAAAAGACCAAAACGCAAGGCAGCAUAUCAGCGCCACGUGAAGUACACACUAAGCACCAACUAUUUAAUUCAGCAAUCAUGGGGGGCCCGGUGGCUCACGCCUGUCAUCUUAGCAAUUUGGGAGGCCGAGGCAGGUGGAUCGCUUGAGCCCAGGAGUUCGAGAUCAGCCUGGGCAUCAUGGUGGCCUGCACCUGUAGUCCCAGCUACUCAGGAGGCUGAGGUGGGAGGAUAGUUUGACCCCAGAAAGUUGAGGCUGCAGUGAGCCGUGAAUGCACCACUACACACCAGCCUGGAUGACAG
rnacentral:lncRNA from 1 species